GCCUUGGUGGCGGAAAUGGCAGACGCAGAGGAAUGGCAGUCCUCCGGCCCCUGCAGCUAAUCCCUGCAUGCCGUCCGGGUUCGAGCCCCGGCCAAGGCACCA
rnacentral:tRNA from 1 species